rnacentral:lncRNA from 1 species
CAGACCUUUGUUCACCUUCUAGCACUGGAAAUACUGCCUUGGGACUUCUAGAGCACUAGAAAUUCCUUAGAGACCUUUUCCAGUCCUCCAAAGUUGUUCAGAAAAUUCUCUGGAGAUCUGAGGAAAUUAACAAGAAAAGACCAUAAUUGUGAAUCUGGCUGCCCUGAAAGAGCAAUGAGAAGCCUGUCUUAUUGCAUUUGAUACCAUCUUAGAGCCACAGCAAACUACAGUAAGAAGAGAGGGCUGAACAGCCGCAGCAAGAGGCUGCAUUACUAGUGCUCAGAAAAUACCUCAAGGCAGAAAUAUCCAACUGUGUAACAGACAUUGGUUCUCUGUCUUCAUCGAAGAGCUUGGACCACAGACCAGGAAAUGGCACACAUUCUUUCUCUUCUCAGUGGUAUUAAGUCUGAGUACCCAGACCUGCCACUGUCUGCUGGAGGAAGGACCUUGCAGACCAGGGAGUUUCUACCACUCUGACUCUGCUCACACUGUUUGUAUGACAUGUAUGGGUGAUCCAAGAACUAUAAAACCUGCUGAACUGAUUGUCUGCAAAUGCUUACCACCUUCAUCAAAAUACUUCAAGAGGGAUACUGGUAAAUUCUCCAGUGCAGAAACAGCUGCAGUUGCAAAAACUUAUUUUGUAUUGGACACCAGAGAAUCAACAGUUAAGUUGUGGAAAAGAAGGAAAAAACGUUUUCUAAAAGUUAAGGACUUUUCAAAACUGACAUAUACACCAUAUUAAAAAUCGAAC